AGGUAGAGUACCUUAGAGAACACAGACCUUGAAGGAUCUCUCCCCUAAGAAAGCUUCCCACAAGUUCUCGAGCCACAGGAGGAGCAAGCGUGUAGUAGGCUAAGAGAAACCGUGUGAUCUCCCUCACAUUCCUCCAUCCCAAACUCACAUUCUCCUUCCUCUCACAGACCCAAAAUCUUCUCAAGUAGCUCUCUCUCAAGAAGUCCCCUUCUUGUCACAUUCCUCUCUCAUAAUUUUUUUUCAAAAGAGAAAAGAUUCAUAUAUAAAUCACGCUCCAAGAAAUCCUAAAAUUUCAAUUUAGUUGUUUAUGUUCGUAUAGUACGAUCCAAGAUCGUACAGUACGAUCAGUUCAAAAUAGCCUUCGUCCUAGUACAAAGGAGUACAAACAGGCAAUUUUUCUAAACAACAUCGUACAGUAUGAUACAACAUCGUUCAGUACGAUAUGUUAUUUUUCUUCUGUUCGUACAGGAUGAACGCUGGGAUGAUGAAAACUCGUCUCUGUUCAUCGUCUGAUAUGAUCUACUUCGUACAGUACGAUAUGUUAAAAGCUUCAUAUCGUCUGGUACAAUUUUUCACUUCAUUUAGUACAAUUAGUUAAAAAAUCAAGGGAUCCUCUGGUACGAUGUUCGGGACGAUUGAAAACAACCUCGAUUGAUCGUACAGUACAAACCAUGUUGUACAGUACGAUAACCAAUCAGAAAUUAAUCUUUGAUUUACUGACUAAUCACGGGGGUUAAUUUAAGUAAGUAUUCAAAUUAUCGUACAGUACGAUUGGAUCAUACAGUACGAUCAAUUAAAAAUUUACCGUUUAGAACUUACUUAAAUUAAUCUGGCAGCUAGGAUUUUUAAUUAGAAACACAUCAUACAGUACGAUAUGUAUCGUACAGUACUAUUUGUUCACAUAUAGCCGUUGAGCCAUAGCAGGUUGUAUAGUACGAUUUAAAAUCGUAUAGUACAAUCUACAGAUAAAAAAAUUUUCUUAUUUUAAAAACAAACUCUCCCCCUGUGUUUGUGCAUGGUUGCUUAGUUUGCAUACACUUUGUGGGCAGACUCAAGAAAAGAAAAAAUACAAAAUAAAUGAAAAUUACAGAGUUACAAACUUCAUAUCCUACUCUACCUAGUCUUGAGUCUUAUUAUUGUCUUGAGUAAUAUGUGAUCUCCCUGAAAUGUUAGUACUCACAGACAAGAGAAAAAUUCAAAAUAUUCAAUGAAUAAUAAAAUAAUUCAAAUUGACAUUAUUUAUCAUCAUCAAAAUUUCAGGCUAGGGGUCAUGGACUGCAACAAUUCAAACAUUAUCUUGAACAAUGUUUGAGACAUGUUUGAAAGCUUUCAACUAGUUCAGCCAUAGCUCAUUAUACAUAUAAUCAAGAAUAAGGUCAUUGGGUUCGAUCAUAACAUGAAGAUAAAAAUGAUCAUAUCAAAUGUGAAGAGGGACUCUAAUAUUAAUUUGUUUCAUGAGAAUAUUUCAUGGUGUCUUGGAAAAGCUAUCAACUAUGUAAGAGGGUUUCUCCAAGCAUCAUUCUGGAAAUUAUCAUCGUAUUUGAUUAUGCUAUAUAGAAAAAAAUUUAAAGAUAAUUGUUGAACUUCAAUUUGAUCGUGAAGAAUGUUUCAAGUAUAUUUGAUUCUUUUUAGGUGUUUGCAUUCAAAUCUUCAAAAGUGCAUUUCAUCUAGUGUUAAAUAUCCAGAUAUAUUUUAUAGAUGUAUAUUGCUUGUGCUAGCGGCACAAUAUGCCAAUAAUCAAAUUUAUUCUAUAACAUUUAUAGUAAUUAACUAAAAAUUGAUGAGUCAUGGAUGUAUUUCAUGACGAAGCUGAGAAAGCCAAUAAGCAUAGUGGAAAACAUGGUGUUCAUUUCUAAUAGAUAUAACAAUAUUGCUAAUAUAUUAUUAAUUAUUUUUCCAAAGACACAUCAUGAAACUUGAACUGUUUAUGUUGUAACAAAUAAUAUGAUGAAGUUUAAAAUUGAUGUUUGUCAUGAGGAAUUUCACCUGACUUCAACAUUCAUAGAAGCAUUGUGUUCUAGAGCCAUGUCGAUAAAAUACAUGUCAUGAACUCAGCCAUAGCUUUCUAUCUAGAGAAUGAAGUUGGCUUUGAGUGAUUUGGCUCGUGCUUUCUUUCAUAGAAAUUGACCUUCUAAUCUAUAUUGUUUGCUUAAAUUAUCUAAUGGAAUAAUCCUUCAAUCUCUAACAAGGUCUUUUUUUUUUCUUUUUUAAAUAGAAUGAAGCUUAUUUAUGAUUUGGUGGAUCCACUUCUUUUUCUUAUGCAUGCCUUCUCUAUUGCAAGAUCAUAAGCUACUUAAAAAUCAAGCAUAACUUAUCCCAUUGCAUUUAUAUUUCGUUUACUAUAACCAUGAAUCCUCUCAUAAUUCAUCUAUUAUAAUAUUUAAUUCUUAAAUGCAUUUUCUUACAUAACACAUUUUGUGGUUAUUUAUUCAUCUAUUCCUAAAAUUUAUAUUUUUAACUAUUCUACAAUUCAAGUUGAGAAGCAUAUGCUUUUUUAUAAUGACCUCAUUGAUAAGCACUUGCGCAGGCAUCAUUUUAGCUUAAAAAGGAACAAAAAAAUAAAAAAAUAAAAACUCAUAAUAGCAAUUAUUCUCAUGUAAACUUAAACCACCUGAAUGUAUAUGGUUAUAAAGGUUGCUAUACUUUUGUUUACUAGCUAAACAUUUUUUUUCCUUUAUUAAUUAUUCGUGUGAGUGGACAGUCCUAGAGCAAAAACACUGAUUAGAUUAUGUCUGAUUUCAAUCAAGUGGUCAAGAGAUAAAUUCAUGAAAAUAAUCUCUGCAAUUCAGUUUAAGGUUAUGUAUACUAAAUACUAACUUCUGAGCCUUUUGCACAAUGUUGCUAGGAUAAGUUGACUUUGACUUCCUAACCGUCUUCCUGAUUUAGUUACUUGCCUUGCAUGUGUGAUGCCCCUCUUGGCAGUCUCAUCCAACUUGAAUUUUUAUUCGUUAGUAGAGAAUAUGCUGAGGUUUGUAAAUUCCUACAUUUAACAAUAUAGAGGAUAACAGGAAAUCAUCCUCAUUUUUUUAUUUUUUGGGUAAAGCAGAUGAUGGUUCUACCAUAGUUGUUCCUCAGUACUGACCAAGUUUACAUCCCAAAAUGAAACAUGUAAACACAUGCAACUAUCUUUUUUGCUGUUGAUUUUAAGCUCAUUGGCUGGAUCGUUUUCAUACAUAUUUUUUUCCUUAAAAUUUGAAUGAAAUGUGCAAUAAAAUGGCUUUUGUCAAACGAACAUAGCAACUAUGUCAUCCUAUGCCAUACUGCCUAAGCUAAUUGUUUGGCUGUAUGCAAUGCUUCUCGUGUCCAAACCGCUCAAAAUCGGAUGGAAGUCCUUCCACCAUAGGACAUAAAGACCUCUCUCAUGCUUUGAGACAAAAAAUUGUAAAUUUAUUGCAGUUUAGGAGGGCAUAAUUUUCUUGUGUUCUAUCAGUGGUCAGAUGAUGGAAAAGCAUGUACUUCCUCAUCCGAUGCUUCUAGCAUCUUCAUGCAAUAGAACAUCUAUCUGAAGUCUAUAAAUGGCUAAAAAUCCUGAAAAACUUGAACACUAUGAUUUAAUAUCAUAUUAAAUUCUCAUAGUAUACAUAUUUGUGAAUUGAGUAAAGUUUUCAAAUUUAAUGUGCAACUGCAUAUUAUUCGAGUUUACAUCUAUUCUUGCGUCAAGAAAAGUAGGAUGCUUGAUUAAACAAUUUUUCAAUCUGUUUUCUGACAUGGAAUCUUCCAUUUCUACGGAAGAAUUCAAAUAUUUUAUUCAGCAAAAAAUGUUACUUCCAUAGUUGACUUAUAGAAUUAGCCUAGAAAAGUACGUGCCUAUUGAAUAUGUGGAAUGCGUCCAUAAUGAAGGUAGCUGUUGUAACUGAAAAAUAAAAUAUAAUAAAAUAAAAUAAGAAAAAUAAAUAAAUAAAUAAAGAAAAAAUGGAAUGUUGACAAGUGGUGAACUCUUGGUUUCAUUGAGACACUUUCAACCAAAAUGGAACAAUUCAACUUAGAUUUAACCAUGUUGUAAUAGGUCAUUAUCAUGUUGCCAGCUUGCGCUGAUUUUAACAUUCCAGUGAAAGCACCCAUUUCAUUUUGUAAAUAGCAUAUGAAUGAUGCAAAAAGACUUGGAGGUUGUAUUAGCCUCAAAUUGGACAGCAAUAUUUACAAGAUUUAUGACGGCCUUUGAAGGAGAGUUGACUGUAGGCUCAGAAUUAUCUGCUGAUUAAUAAAAUUCUUGCCUAUUCAAAUUUUACAUCUAUAGCGUACUUAAACUGAUUGGUUUGCUAAUACCCUUUGAACGAUCACAUAGUUUACCUUGAUAAUGUAUUAUUUUCUUACUUGUUAUAUCAAGGAAAAGUAUCUCAAUUUGAAAAAAUGGAAAAUUUGUUCUGUUUGGUCAUUUAUUUUUUGAAAUAUUAUCAUUCUACCUAUUUUCAUUUGUUAUUAAAACUUUUUAAACGUACGCAUCAGCAAAUAUUGAUACUAGGUGUUAGAGCAAAAGGCGGAACCAUGCAGCUCAUGAUGAUAUUUCUUUGAGUGUUAAAUGUUAUUCAAUUUAGAAUUUUUUUUUCAAUAUUUUGCUUAUCAUUAAAAAUAAACUUGGACAUUGGCUGUUUCAUGUGCUUCCUGAUUUAGAUUGCAAAUUUAUGUGGCAUGGAAAUAGCUGACUUAAGAUACAUUAUGGGUUAUGGUAAUAGAUACAGCCUUCUUGGGCAUCACACAGUUGAGGAACUGCAAAAAUUUGGCUUAACUGAAGCCAUGAUCGAUGACCAGAUCUGGCAAAGGAAAGCAAAACCAGGGGAGCUAAAUUAUGAUUCCUUGACCACCGGACCAUCUUUCUUCACACAUUUUGACUGACAAAUGAUUGCAUGUAUAUAUCUAUAGAUACCGACUUUGUAUGUAAAGAAAAUAAUUUUCCAAGGAAUCAAGAAUAAAUGCCCAAGUAUUAUAUAUAUAUAUAUUUUCUUUUACCUUUAGUAUUGUGGCUAUAUGUCAGGCAAAAUGACACUUUUUAUAUCUCUGUAAGAGCCGUUAGCCCUACAGUAACUCUCUAAUGAAGAUUCACAAUAUUUGUAGACAUCUAUUCUUCUGUACAAAAACUACGCACCUGUUUUAGGUGCUCUCAAAUGGCUUCAAGGAAGCAGACAUAAAUCCAAUAAGAAAUCUGUUAUCUC